rnacentral:rRNA from 2 species
AAUAAGAGCUAAUGGUGGAU